AAAAUAUUCAGAUUAUUUCAUUUUUAUUUUCCUUUAAGCCUUUUUUUCUUUACAAUUUUUAGAUAUAAAAUGUAAUUUUAUACCACAACACCAAAAUCUAUAUCUGGUACAAAUAUUAAUAUUUAUAUAUAUUUGUAAUUGAUAAAAGAUACAGACAUUAUUCAAACUCGAUACCUUCAACCGAUUCAAGGUACUAGAUGACAAUCUCUCACUAUUGCAAAAUAAAACAAUCAGUACCUGCAAUUACUAACUAAAUACCGGACAUCGUCGGAUAUGGAGUACUAAUCAAUCUAGGGUCGCAGUCGGCGUAUACAGGUAUUCGACCGAAAACCAUCCUCCUUUAAAUGGAUAAGAUACAGGGCGGAAAUCUAAUCAUGAACGAACAAGAGUUAAGCUUUGAAUCUAUCUUUGAUCGAGUCUCAUAAUCUGCUUUCUCUGGAAGAUCAAGAAUCCAACAACCCCUGCUUGUAAGACAGCUGCUACACCAGCGAAUAGGAAUCCUAUAAAUUCGCCCCUGUUCAUCUUUUGCUCUGCCGCCGCAAGGGCCGAGAUGGCAAAUGAUUUCACUUUCUGCCCAAGGUCUUAGAUUUACCACUUAUCGGUGGCCGUGGUGGUGGUGGCUCUUGAUAAGAUUGUGUCUCCUUCUUAUAAUGAGGCGGUGGAGGCGGCCAAGAUGACGGUUUCUGGAUUUUCAAAGGAGGAAGAUGCAAGAAUAGUGAUUUGAAGUGGAGAAGAGAAAAUGGCGAUUUUGCAGCCACGUCGAUUGGUUGGAUGUAAGGCCGUGAUGAGGAGAAGAGUUACAUGCGGCGGUUAGGUUUCUUUUAAUGGAUAAGUUGUUAAAUAGAAUAGAUUUUUUUAAUUAAAUAAUAAUUUUAUGUAUAUAUCAGUUUUAUUUCAACUUUCAAUUUUUAAUACCUAAUUUAAUAAUAAAAUAUAUUAGUAUUAUNNNN
rnacentral:lncRNA from 1 species